UAUAUUCAUUGACGCCUCCUCUGUAUAACUAUGUAGUCAUGUUUAUGACGAGCCAUACGACACGAUAGUUUAAAGCACGAAGUGUGGAAAUUUUAAACUAUCCUCUGGUAUCCCUGUUUACAGCUAGCAACACUGCGUGCCUAUGUCAGCCAUUAUGUUUUUUCGUGCGAUACGAUUACGACUAGUGUCUUAAAGUAAUUAAAAUAUCUAGUGUAAGAACAUAAAAUGAACAGAAGAUAAUGAAGAAGUUGUUGGAUAUCCUCGAUUACGAUUUGGAUGAAGCACCUCGAACAGAUCGAAUAAUAAGUUCGAGUGAUGAAGAUGAAGAGACACCUAAGAAGAAACGCAGGCGUAUUUUGCCUAUUGAAGAGUCUGAUGAUGAACAAGCAGAUGAAGAUAAAGAGAACAUCUUGCAAUUAAUUGGAGAGUCAGAUAUGAAAAAGAAUGUAAUUUCCAUACAGAAAGGAUUGGAUAAAAAAGGCAAAAAGAAAUUGGAAGAAAAAAAUCCCUCAUUCAAGAACUGCUUCGUAUACGCCCCGACAUUAAAUGAAGAAAUUGAAAUAACAUUAAACAAAAAUACUAAAACCAGAGACCAAAAAUUGUGCGAAAAACAAAAUCAAAUUGGGUUAAUUAUUAGUAACUUAAAUAAAAUAUUAAAAGAUCUUAUAAUAAAAAAAUGAAAAAGAACAUGUUGAAUCGCUGGGGGACUCUAUAAAAUUACUGGCAGACCUUCAUUUUAUGGAAACAGAAACUAGAAAGGCAGUUAUUUUACCUGGCUUAAACAAAACGCUCAAGGACACCUUAGAAAAAACGCAAACCACUACGUUCCUCUUCGGAAAUGAUUUACAUAAAAUCAUUAAAAAAUCUAAAGAAAUAGAAAAGUCUAUCAAAGAUAUUCAGCAAAAUAAAAGUUUAAACUUUUGGAGCCCGUCCUACACCAACCAUCCAAUGCAGGGCGGGCCAAGAAAAAAAUACCUAAGCAAAAUAAGAAUGUAUCAAAGAAAUUACUACCGGAACACAGCAGCAGCAGCAGUCGGUCAACCCCGGAGAACCCAAAGGCAGUGGUCACCUCGUCGUCCAGCUCGAGGCAGACGUCACCGCCUUCACCGCCGAGACCACAAGAAAUAGCCGAGGUAUGUGUGGCUGGACGACUAACAUAUUUCUUUGACAAGUGAGCCAAAUUUAUUAAAAACAAAACAGUGUUAGAAUGGGUUCGUAAAGGUUAUGAAAUACCUUUAAUAUCAACACCUAACCAGAAAUAUAUACCAAAAAAUGAAAAGUUCACUUCUACAGAAAAACAAAUAAUCCAUGACUCAUUAAAUAAAUUAUUGAAAAUAGGGGCAGUAAAAUACUGUAAACCUGUAAAUAAUAAAUAUUUAUCAAAAAUAUUUUUUGUACCAAAGCCAGAUGGAACAGCUCGAUUUAUCUUAAAUCUAAAAUCUUUUAAUAAACAUGUACUUACACAACACUUCAAAAUGGAAGAUAUUAGAACUGCCAUUAAAUUAAGCAACAUGGAGUCUUACCUUGCCUCCCUGGAUCUUCAGGAUGCUUACUUCUGUUUAAGAAUUCACACAAAUUCCAAAAAAUAUUUAAGAUUUCUUUUUGACAACAAUAUGUACGAAUUUCAGGUACUUCCAUUUGGUCUCUCUUCUGCUCCUUAUGUCUUCACCAAGUUGAUAAAACCUAUAACAACUUGCCUCAGAGAACAAGGUCUACUUUCAGUCAAUUAUUUGGAUAACUUUUUAUUUAUUGGGAACUCACAGAUUGAAUGCUCUCAUAAUAUUUUAACCAGCCAAAACUUACUAGAAUCAUUGGGUUUAAAGGAAAAAAAGUAACAUACAUCCCUCAAAGCAAUGUAAAUUUUUAGGUUUUGUUCUAGAUUGUUCUAAGUAUUCUGUAUCAUUACCAAACGAAAAACGCACCAGCAUACAUAUAUAAUAAAAUAAAAUCAUUCAUGCGUCUCAAACAUCUAUAAGAUCUUUUGCAUCCCUAAUUGGUAUUUUAAUAUCGAUUUGCCCUGCUGUUCCAUAUGGCCUAAUGUAAACAAAACGAUUGGAACGCCAUAAAUUUCUUAGUCUUAAAAAGAAUGACAAUAAUUUUUAGUCUAAAAUGGUACUUACUUAUGAAGUAAAAGAGGAUUUAAAAUGUUGGAAAAAAAACAUGUCUGUUUGGCUAGUAAUCCUAUUUGAGAAGGUAUUCACAAAAUUGAGAUAUUCACAGACUCUUCUCGAACUGGUUGGGGUAUUGUAUGUGGUUCUAAAAAGCUACACGGUUUUUGGAAUAGAGAGGAUAGGAAAUCACACAUAAAUUAUUUAGAAUUAAAAGCUAUAUAUUUUGGCCUACAGUGCUUUGCUAAAGAUUUAAGAAAUUGUGACAUUUUAUUGCGUUGUGACAACACAACUGCAAUAUCAUACAUUAAUCGAUAUGGAGGGAUUCACCACAAACAUUUAAAUGAUCUUACCCGUCAAAUAUGGAAAUUUUGCGAAUUAAGAAAAUUAUUUAUAUUUGCUUCUUAUAUAGCUUCUAAAGAUAAUUACAUAGCAGAUAAAGAGUCAAGAAAUACUAACGAACAAACUGAAUGGCAGCUUUGCAACGACGCAUUUAACAAAAUCAAAUUAAAAUUUGGACGCCCAGUAAUUGAUUUAUUUGCAUCAAGAGAAAAUGCUAAAUGUAAAAGGUUUAUUUCCUGGCAUAUCGAACCUAAUUGCUGGGCAGUAGACGCUUUUACAGUUUCAUGGACAAAUUUAAAAUUUUAUGCUUGCCCACAAUUUUCUCUCAUUUUAAAAUGUUUAAAUGAUAAAGCAGAAGGAAUAGUGGUAGUUCCUUUAUGGCCGUCUCAAGCUUGGUUUCCUAUAUUUAUGUCUUUAAAAAGGUCACCCAUAUUGAAAUUUUACCCAAAUAGGUCAUUGUUAUCAUCUCCUUUCAGAGACCACCAUCCACUAUACAAGAACCUUACACUGAUUGCCGCAGUAUUAUCAGCAAAGUCUACUUAAAUAAGAAAAGGAAUAACCUGUGAAAGUAUCAAUAUAAUUUUAAAUUCAGUAUCAGAUAAUACAAUAAAACAAUAUAAUUCAUGUUUAAAACAA